GACGAACGCUGGCGGCGUGCUUAACACAUGCAAGUCGAACGAAAAGAGGGAAAGAGCUUGCUCUUUCCGGAAUUGAGUGGCAGACGGGUGAGUAACACGUAAACAACCUGCCUUCAGGAUGGGGACAACGGACGGAAACGACUGCUAAUACCGAAUAAGUUCCAAGAGCCGCAUGGCCCAUGGAAGAAAAGGUGGCCUCUACCUGUAAGCUAUCGCCUGAAGAGGGGUUUGCGUCUGGUUAGCUGGUUGGAGGGGUAACGGCCCACCAAGGCGACGAUCAGUAGCCGGUCUGAGAGGAUGAACGGCCACACUGGAACUGAGACACGGUCCAGACUCCUACGAGAGGCAGCAGUGGGGAAUCUUCCGCAAUGGGCGAAAGCCUGACGGAGCAACGCCGCGUGAGUGAUGACGGCCUUCGGGUUGUAAAACUCUGUGAUCCGGGACGAAAGGGCAGAGUGCGAAGAACAAACUGCAUUGACGGUAC
rnacentral:rRNA from 1 species